CAAAGUACAAGUCUCUACUCCAGGAGCCAUUGCCAAGGAGAUGAUUAUUCAUUAACUCUGGUCCACCUGGUCGAUGAAGUUCCUCAGUGGUGCAGUGUGUCAAGGGAUGAGAAUGUCUUUGUUCUGGGGAGAGCUGCAGCACCACAACCACUUCAAAGAACCCCAGCAGCUGAAACAACUUGCAAGGAAAGACCCCUCUUGAGCUUCUAAUUGUCAGGGCAAACACUGCAACAACGCAGCU